CGAGCUGAGCACGCUGGAGCCUGGCCGGCCUCCCCUCCGGCCGCAGGCCCGACGCGCCAGUGCGGCCUGGUCUUUCCCACGGCCUCCCGAGUUCUGUGGCGCUGCCGUGACCACGUGCACCCCUGGAAUCAAAGCCAGAGGCACGAAUAAGGUGUCUGUUCUGAGGGAAGAAUUUUGUAAGGAUGGACCCACACAAGCAGGUUGCCAGCAUACAUAAUGGGGAUACGUUACAGGUACCUGAGCGUGAGAAAGCCUCUCAGUAUGUGAACCGGGUACAAAGGCAAGAAGUCUGGCCCACAGAAGGGAGACGGUACACUUGUAGUGAAUGUGGAAAGAAGUUUGCCCAGAGCUCAGGCCUCGUUCGACACCGGAGAAUCCACACUGGCGAGAAACCCUAUGAGUGUGAUCACUGCGGAAAAGCCUUCAGUGUGCGCUCCACCCUCACUGUGCAUGAGAGAAUCCACACAGGCGAGAAGCCCUAUACUUGUAACGAGUGUAGGAAAGGCUUUGGUGUGAGGGCACACCUGAUCAUACAUCAGAGAAUCCACAACGGGGAGAAACCGUAUGAAUGUAAUGAGUGUGGCAAAGCAUUUAGUGUGAGCUCAGACCUUAUCAAGCAUCAGAGAAUCCACUCUGGGGAAAAGCCCUAUGAGUGUGACGAAUGUGGGAAAGCCUUUAGCGUGAGCUCAGCCCUCAUCAAACACCAGAGAAUCCACACAGGAGAGAAGCCGUAUGAGUGUAAGGAGUGUGGGAAGGCCUUCUAUGUGAACUCCGCCCUUAUUAAUCACCAAAGGAUUCACUCUGGAGAAAAGCCCUAUGAGUGUGGAGAAUGCAGGAAAGCCUUCAGCCAGAUCUCAACCCUUAAUCAUCACCAGAGAAUCCACACUGGAGAGAAACCGUAUGAGUGUGACGUGUGUGGGAAAGCUUUCCGUGGGAGUUCUAAUCUUACCAAACACCAGAAAAUACAUGCCAAACUAAAGUGUCGUCAUUGAUUUAUGUGGUGAAGAUAUUUCAAAGGCCUUUUUUUUGUAUCAGAAGUCAACACCAAGAGAAGAACAUGGAAAAAAUUAAUGUUUUAAUUGAUACUUGGCCUUUUGGGAUAUUCAAGAAGUGAGAAGUCAGUGAAAAUUGACUCCAGAAUGAUUAAAGCUCUGAAAUCACGUCGACUUCUGAGAGUGCUCCUUUUACAACUUACAAGGAUGGAGGUUUGCAGACAGAUUCUUCUGGGUGGAGAAUACUCUUCUGAGAUCAGCACUGAAGUGAUGGCAUAACCCACCCCAAACCAGCGCAACUGAAUCCGAAGCAGUAAGUGGACCUCCCUGCAUCCCCCAGCUCCCGCCCGCAAAUCUCAGUCGCUUACAGUACAGGACUUGGUCUUGCCUGUGCUGUGUGUCAGCCGUGGCUCAGUUGCAGCUCUGCAGUGUGUUCUCUCCACCCCAGGACCUGAGGAGUAAAAGAAACACAGCGAGAGUAACUCCUGGCCUUAGACAAGGAGUCCAGCUCCAAGGAGAGUUUUGCGGAAGCCCAGCACAGAAGACUAACUGGGAACAUACCUCAGGGCCUCCACAUGCAACAAGUCCAGGGCCUUCGGAAUAGUCUAGCCAAGUGAGGGACGAGCCCCUUUCAGGAAUCACGGCUUGUAUUGCUUCAAGCCAGGAGAGUAUCUGAUAAAGGGAUAAGUGUCACUGAUAACUAUCUGCUAAGUAUCACCCUGGUGAGGACACUUAGGAAAACCUGCCCUGAAGUUCACUCCUGUCAGUGCUCUGGGAGCAGGGAAUUCUCCCUUCACCUUGUGCUCAGUUGUGAUAAAACGUAAGUGCCCCAGAAACGCCUCUCCCUGAUAAAACAAACCCGGACACCAGCACUCCUGACUAAGCCCCAGCAGACUUGAGGAAACCCUAUGAGGAUUCUCAGCACGGAAGGACCUUCAGUGUAAACCCAGCGCCUGUGGCACUGCACAGCCGAGAAGCCACCAUGCAGAAGAGUCCCGUGAGAGUAGAGAAUGUGGCAAAGCCUUCAGGUACUUGGAUAGUCUUGUCGGAUAUCAGAGAACCCAUGAAGAGAUCUUCAGUGCCGUAAAUGUGAGCUCAACUCUCAUUAAAAAGAAACAGGGGCGCCUGGGUGGCUUAGUCGGUUAAGCAUCCGACUUCGCUUAGGUCAUGAUCUCACGGUUCGUGGGUUCGAGCCCUAUGUGUGACUGCUCUGAGGACCUCUCAGCGUUAGCUCAGGUCUUACAGUGCAUCAGAGAUUCCAUAUGGAGAAAAGCUCUUUGUAAGUGAUAUGGGAAAGCCUUUAGUCAAAGUUCAGAUCUUACCAAACAUCAGUCUGUACUGGAGAGAAGUCUUAUGCCUGGGGCAGGUAUGAACUCCUUUCUUACCAGACAUCAAAGGAUACACAACAAAAAUAAACUUCAGUUGUCAAAUGUGUUGUAAAAGUAUAGUACAGGACUUCUUCAACAUCAAACAUCACAGUUAGGUAGGAAGAGCAUGCGACUCUUGAUCUCAGGGUCAUGAGUUCGAGCCCCACAUUGGGCUAGAGUUUAUUAAAUAAAUAAGUAAAAACUUUAAAAAACCAAUUGCAUACAACCACUUUAGCAUUUUAUGGAAUUAAGAUGAGUGUUAUUAGAGACUUUGUCAGGUCACUUCAUGGGGACACUUGAAUGAAAACAUCUCUGUGACGGAUCUCUACAGCUAUUUAACUCUCUUUGGCACAGUUUCAUUUUCUGUAGUAAACGUUGCGGGGGGUGGGGGUGGGCUCUUUAUUCCCAACCUUUGAUGAUUGAAACAUUACUACAUUUA